GUGCCAGCAGCCGCGGUAAUACGUAGGGGGCUAGCGUUGUCCGGAAUCAUUGGGCGUAAAGCGCGUGUAGGCGGCUCGAUUAGUCUGCUGUGAAAGUCGGGGGCUCAACCCUCGGAUGCCGGUGGAUACUGUCGGGCUAGAGUGCGGAAGAGGCGAGUGGAAUUCCUGGUGUAGCGGUGAAAUGCGCAGAUAUCAGGAGGAACACCAAUUGCGAAGGCAGCUCGCUGGGACGUCACUGACGCUGAGACGCGAAAGCGUGGGGAGCAAACAGGAUUAGAUACCCUCGUAGUCC
rnacentral:rRNA from 1 species